rnacentral:rRNA from 1 species
UAGGGAAUCUUCGGCAAUGGACGAAAGUCUGACCGAGCAACGCCGCGUGAGUGAAGAAGGUUUUCGGAUCGUAAAACUCUGUUGUUAGAGAAGAACAAGGACGUUAGUAACUGAACGUCCCCUGACGGUAUCUAACCAGAAAGCCACGGCUAACUACGUGCCAGCAGCCGCGGUAAUACGUAGGUGGCAAGCGUUGUCCGGAUUUAUUGGGCGUAAAGCGCACGCAGGCGGUCUGUCAAGUCGGAUGUGAAAUCCCCGGGCUCAACCUGGGAACUGCAUUCGAAACUGGCAGGCUAGAGUCUUGUAGAGGGGGGUAGAAUUCCAGGUGUAGCGGUGAAAUGCGUAGAGAUCUGGAGGAAUACCGGUGGCGAAGGCGGCCCCCUGGACGAAGACUGACGCUCAGGUGCGAAAGCGUGGGGAGCAAACAGG